CCCCUAGUAACUGCGAGUGAAAUGGGAAAAGCUCAAAUUUGAAAUCUGGCAGUCUCCUUUUUCUUCUUUGGCUGUCCGAGUUGUAAUCUAGAGAAGUGCUUACCUACACUGGACCAUGUAUAAGUCUCCUGGAAUGGAGCGUCAUAGAGGGUGAGAAUCCCGUCUUUGACAUGGACUGCCAGUGUGUUGUGGUGUGCUCUCAAAGAGUCGAGUUGUUUGGGAAUGCAGCUCUAAAUGGGUGGUAAACUCCAUCUAAAGCUAAAUAUUGGCAAGAGACCGAUAGUGAACAAGUACCGUGAGGGAAAGAUGAAAAGGACUUUGGAAAGAGAGUUAAACAGUAUGUGAAAUUGUUGAAAGGGAAACGCUUGAAGUCAGUUAUGUUGGUUAGGGAUCAGCCCAGCUAAUUUUGCUGAGUGAAUUUCCUAGUCUGACAGGCCAACAUCAGUUCUGACUGCUAGAAAAGAGCAGAGGGAAUGUGGCACCUUUGGGUGUGUUAUAGCCUUUUGUCAUAUGUGGCAGUUGGGACUGAGGAAUGCAGCGUGCUGUAAAGCUGGGUUAUGACCACUUUCGCGCUUAGGAUGUUGGCUUUUAAUGGCUUCAAUCGACCCGUCUUGAAACACGGACCAAGGAGUCUAACAUGCCUGCAAGUGUUUGGGUGGAGAAAACCCUUG
rnacentral:rRNA from 1 species